rnacentral:lncRNA from 1 species
UCAGGACACUGGGUUCCCUACGAGCUGCCCCAGGCUUAAUGAUUGUCCAGAAGGUGGCUAUAAAGGGAGCCUGGGAGGCUGGGUGGAGGAGGGAACAGAGAAAGCCUAACUCAGCAGAUCUGGUCACUGAGAGAGCCACAGGCAGGAGCUGUGGUCGGAGGCUUCGUGUCUUGGCCAGUGGGGCCUGCUCCCUUCCACCAUGGCCGCCCAAGGCUACGGCUAUUACCGCGCUGUGAUCUUCUCAGCCAUGUUUGGAGGCUACAGCCUGUACUACUUCAACCGCAAGACCUUCUCCUUUGUCAUGCCAUCGUUGGUGGAGGAGAUCCCUCUGGACAAGGACGACUUGGGUGAGCCACGGAAGGGCAGGGUGGUGGGCCCUGGGACCCAGGACCCGUAGGACAAGUUGGUGUUGGUGGCAGUGUUGUGCAUAAAGGCACGUAGCGUGUGUGGAGCGUCUGCACAGUGGAGGGUAGGGAGAGUCGGCACACGCCGACCGGACUCUGAAAACCAUACGCCUGGCUGUGGGCUAAGCACCAGGAGUGUCGUCGAUACGCGUCUGAGGAGGGCUGCCUAUGUGAUGUGUCUUUGUGUGCCUGUGACCCACACGUGCCCCCACAGGUCUGGCUUAUUCCGAGUAUGUUUAGGGGGCUUCUGGGCAUGGUUUCCACACCUCGUGGGUGCGUGCUAAGACCACAGGGUGCACGCUGGCCACUGACGUCGUAAGCAAUGGGAACUGGAGACUUGGCACAGAAACUUCACGUGGCCCCGCACGCUACAUUUCAGGGGGAAUAACGUCCUUGAUUCCAAUUCUAAGCUCUUUGCCCCAUGCCCAGAGGUGGGGGUGACGGAACUGCUAGAAGCCCUGGGUCGGCAUCCAGGGUGAGGAGGAAAUGUAAUCAGGCAUGGGUAGAUCCCAGGGUGGGGCUGCCCUGUUCUCCCCUUCUUGCCCCCUGACAGCUGCAGCUGGAACUCUCCAGGUUGAAAAGUCAAGGGUCAGCCUGGGGCUAGCGCCGGCGGUGAGGAGGGGUAGCGGCGCCCCUGAAAGGGUGCUGGGAUUCCAACACAGGCUGCUUCUGGUCCCCUUGGAAGGAACCUAUCUCACCCUGCCAGGCACCUCUACACACGUGACCCCAUGCCUUCCUCCAUCCCUCCUGUGCCCUUGCCCUGGCCCCUAACCCCCUAGGUGUGCUGCUUCCUGCUCCCCUCCCCUGCAGGGCUCAUCACCAGCAGCCAGUCGGCAGCCUACGCCAUCAGCAAGUUUGUGAGCGGGGUGCUGUCUGACCAGAUGAGUGCCCGCUGGCUCUUCUCUUCUGGGCUGCUUCUGGUCGGCCUGGUCAACGUAGUCUUUUCCUGGAGCUCCAUGGUACCUGUCUUUGCUGCUCUCUGGUUCCUCAAUGGCCUGGCACAGGGGCUGGGCUGGCCUCCCUGUGGGAAGAUCCUGCGGAAGGUGAGUGUCUGCUCCCAAGAAGCCAGUUGAGACUGGCCGAGGGGAUACCUACAGGGCAUGUGGGAGUACCAGCACUCCCAUCCCCGAGCGGGUUCCUCGGGAGUUCCAGUCCAACUCCUGUUGCUCGUCGAGAUAUUUUAGGAGCUAAACAUGGUGGGAUCAGGUGGCAGAUGAGGGAAUUGGCCCUGCCAAGUAGAGGCGCCCUCUUCCUCGUCCCUGUAAUGUGAGCUUCUAGGUCUGCCCCUGCCCCACCUGACCCUCACCUUCAACAUGUUUAAUGUGGGCACCUACUCUGAACCCUCUGCCCCACAGUGGUUUGAGCCAUCUCAGUUUGGCACCUGGUGGGCCAUUCUGUCAACCAGCAUGAACCUGGCUGGAGGGCUGGGCCCUAUCCUGGCAACCAUCCUCGCCCAGAGCUAUAGCUGGCGCAGCACGCUGGCCCUGUCUGGGGCGCUCUGUGUAGUUGUCUCCUUCCUCUGUCUCCUGCUCAUCCACAAUGAACCCGCUGACGUUGGGCUCCGGAACCUGGACCCCGCCCCCUCCAAGGACAAGAAGGGUGAGCACGCACCCAGGCCGAAUCACUGGGGCACCUUCAUCCACCAUUCAUUUGGCAGACUUUCAUUGAGGUCUGGCUGUAUGCCUGGCCCUGUGCUAGCCGAUGGAGGCAGGGGGAGGGAUGGUGGUGGCAAGUUGGUGGGGAGUAAAUAAAACUCCGUUCCAAGAGACACUUAAGUACCAGACAAGCGGCAGAGCCAACAAAUGCUGUGUGACUCAUGUUAUAUCCCGGUCCUUCCUCACAGCAGAGCCAGACUUCCCUGUCCUGUCCUGGACAGCAUCCUAAGCUUAAGUGGCUUGGGUGCCUUCCUCCAUGUGCCCUGGUCCCGGUUUCAUUUGCUGAGGCCUGUAGUGGAGGGGACAGGGUAGAACAGUGGGUGAAGGGGUGCCUUCCUGCUGGUCCCUGGCUGUGUGGAUGGACUGUGGCCCUGUGGCUGGUUAAUGAGUGGUGGGGGCUCAGUCGGGGCAGAGCAGCAAGAGUGGAGCCUCAGGCCUGGCCUCCUCCUGCCCCCAGGCUCCUCGAAGGAGGAGAGUACUCUACAGGAGCUGCUGCUGUCCCCCUACCUGUGGGUACUCUCCACGGGCUACCUCGUGGUAUUUGGAGUAAAGACCUGCUGUACUGACUGGGGCCAGUUCUUCCUCAUCCAGGAGAAAGGACAAUCCGUCCUCGUGGGUAAGAUGAGUUUGGAACAGGGGUGGGCCUAGGGAGCAGGAGUCAAUGAAAGGGAUGGGAAGUUCAGGCCCAGCUUCUCUUUAUCCCUUCCUUCUUUCCCUGAGGCCAGGCACUACUCAGACAGCUGUGGUCGGUCACCCUUGGGGACCCUGUACCUCUCUGGGUUUAAGCCAGUCUGGGACAACCCCAGUGUGUAACACCCACCCUUCCUUUCCCUCUUCCCACCACAACUCCCUACUCCAGGUAGCUCCUACAUGAGUGCCCUG